rnacentral:misc_RNA from 1 species
CAAACAAAAGUCUACCUUGAACAGUCCAAGAACAGCUGAACUCUUAAUGAGAUCUCUCAGCUGAACUCUCAAUGAGAUCUCUCAGUUAUCUAUCCCAUUUUCUGAAAAGAAAUAAUAAAAUCAAAUAGGUAUGAAUUUGAAAUGGUUUCUAAAUUUAAUGUUUUGCCAUAUUUAUUAUUUUUAUGUUUUGGAGAUGUUUUUAUGUACCCGAAAGUUUUUUGAGUAAGAUAAAGAGGUAGUUUUUUAAAUUUGCCUGCCUGCAAAGGAGCUCAACGCCUGCGACCCUUAACAAACAGCAAAAGCUGAAAAAUUGGAAAAAGAAAGUUGUCGAAGAGCUCUUCGUUACCAGAACAUCAAAAUGUCUGGACUUCAAGACUUGGAAGCUGAAAUCUUAGGGACGAAACAGCCAUUCCUCUCUCAGCCAUUUGGUUGGGUGAGUAGCAAUAGUGUAUUAUUUCCGAGCAGCUCAUCAAAAUCUUCAGUUUCACGUACAAGAUCUCGAAGGACGUUUUUUGAUGUUCGGGGAACUUGUUUUCUUUGCGGAGAACCUUUGGGUGAUGACAGAAACAUAUUCAUGUACAGAGGAGAUUCAUUCUGUCGCAAGGAAUGCCGGCUACAGCAAAUGGCUAAAGAUGAAACCAGUGACCGAAUACAGGUCAAUCCUAGUGCUACAGCUUCAGUGAAAAUGGCAAAGAUUAAAUCUAAGCUGGGCAAGAAAUUUGACACAAGAACCAUUUUUGAGGGAAUAACUGAAGUUAGGGAUCAAUAUUGGACCAAAGCAACACACCGAAGAGCAGAACUAGAGAAUAAACAGAAACCAAUAUGCAUUGCUCCAUCUGAGACAUUACUUGAAGCUAUAAUAGAAAAAGAUAUGAAAUUUGAUCGUAGCCUGAACAUAAUCAUGGAAAGCAUGGAAAAUUCAGAUAUAGGUAAGAUUGGGAUUUAUGGUAGAGCAGGGAUUGAAAAAUCAUCUUUGGCAGAAGCCCUGAGGGAUCAGCCUAUGGUAAGGAGAUUUUUUGAAAGUGUUAUUUGUGUUAAGGUUUCCAAGGUUUGGAGAAUGAUCCAGGUGCAGCAGGAGAUCUCGAGACAAUUACCUUACUGCGAGAUUGAUCGUAAUGUUCAUAUAAACUCACGGAUACCAUUCAAUUUGCUAAACCGCAAGAAGUUCUUAUUAAUUUUGGAUGAUGUUUGUGAGUUCAUAAAUGUAGAAAUGAUGGGAAUCCCUAAGCCAACCCCUGAAAAUGGUUGCAAGAUAAUUUUGACAACUAGAUUAGAGCAGAUAUGCGAUCAGAUGGCAGUGGACUGGAAGGUAAGACUAGAAGAUUUAUUGUCCUGGGAAUUGUUUUGCCAGAAUGUUGGUGAAAUUGUGGAUUCUUCUCCAAGCGUUCAACCACUAGCAAGAAGAAUAGUUGAGAUGUGUUGCCACUGUUCACAUGCCAUCAUCCUAGUGGCAAGGGCAUUAAAAGAUGCUUGUGAUAUUCGUAUCUGGAACAAUGUGCUUGAAACAUUAAGCAAGGAACCUGUAUGGGUGAUAUCUCAUCAAGACAAAUUAGAAAUUAUCAUGAUUAAUGCAUUAAAAUUCAGCUAUGAGGGUCUACCUGAUGACAUAACUAGAAAAUGCUUGAGAAAUUGUGUGCAGCUUUUUCAGAAUCAAGUUUUUGAAGUAGCAUUGUUGAUAGAUAGCUGGAUUGCAGAUGGUUUAAUAGAUAACCAUAAUAAAGGCAAUCAAAUUCUGGACACGCUGACAAGUGCCAAUCUACUGAGGAGAACUUCUGGCAGUCAAUUUGUUGAGCUGGAGGAGACGUAUCGACAUAUAUUAGUAGAUCAUAUCAUCUUACCAGAGGAGGGGAGAUUGUUUCUGAUGCAAGGAGGUAUGAGAUUGACUGAGACACCAAAGGUUGAGGAAUGGGAGAACUCGAAAGUUAUUUACUUGAUGGAUAAUGAACUAUCAGUGUUGCCAGAGAAUCCAAGAUGCCUCAUACUAGAAGCAUUGUUCCUCCAAAGAAAUUGCAAAUUAAGAAAGAUACCUCCAUCAUUUUUUCAUCAUAUGCCUGCUCUAAAAAUCCUGAACCUGUCCAGAACUCGCAUCAAGUCUUUGCCAGAAUCCCUAUUCAAGUUGGUGAGCCUUAGAAGGCUCUAUUUAAAUAAUUGUGAACUGCUUAUGGCAUUGUCUCCUAGUGUUGGAGAGCUGAAGCAUCUUGAGGUACUUGAUCUUCAAGGGACAGAGAUCAUGGAUCUGCCUAAGGAAAUUGAACGAUUAACAAAUCUGACAUGCUUGGAAGUGUCAUUCUGUGAGCCUAUGAAUCAUAGGAGAUCAAAGCAGUCAAAUCCUUUGAUUCCUUGUAGUAUGAUAUCUGCUUUAUCACAGUUAGAAGAAUUAAGCAUCGAUGUGAGUCCUGAUGAUGAAUGGUGGAAUGCAUGUGUGGAGGAUGUUGUUUCUGAAGUUUGUCGCUUACCAGUGCUAAACACACUUAAAUUCUACUUUCCUAGGGUAGAACUUCUGCGAUAUUUCAAGUGGUAUGAUGCUGUUAUGGCAGAUCCACCAUUGUCACAUUUCAGAUUUACUGUUGGUUUUAGGGUCAAGCGCAUCAUAUCUCGACUCCCUAGCGAUAUUGAGUUCGAGUUGGAACGAUAUGCUAGGUGCUUGAAGUAUGUAAAUGGGACAGCAAUCCCUGGAGAUAUCAAGCAGGCACUUAGACAUGCAACUGCAUUUUUCUUAGAUCGCCAUAUGACUAUUAGAAAAUUAUCUGAAUUUGGAUAUGGAAAUCUGAAGCAACUAAAAUGUUGUGUGGUGGGGGAAUGCAAUGAGCUUCAAGCAAUUAUAGAUGGAGAUCAAAUAGAAGCCAGACUUGGUGAUUUAGCACUGGAAUAUCUGCACAUAUACUAUAUGAAGAAUUUAAGAAGCAUAUGGGAGGGACCAUUGCAUUAUAGUGGCUUAUUUGUUCUGAAAUUCUUGACUCUGCUCGCAUGUCCACAGUUAACCACCAUUUUCACUUCGGAAUUGCUUAGAACUCUCAUAUGUCUAGAAGAGCUCACAGUUGAUGAUUGCUCCCGAGUCACUAGUUUAGUGAGCGGCAGUGAUUGUGAGAACGAGAUCAAGCUUGUUCUCCCUGCCUUGAAGAAGAUAUCUCUUCGUUUCUUAGCUGAAUUGGAUAACAUCUCUGAUGUGGUAUGCAUUUCGCCAAGAUUGGAAUGGAUGAACUUUUACCAUUGCCCAAAUCUCAAAAGUCUCCCAAUUGGCAAAGUUUUCCACGCCAAAUGGAGGCAGAUCAAGGGUGAGGAGAGCUGGUGGCAAGCAUCGGAGUGGCAAUACACAGAGCAAGAUUCUUGGAAAGGCAUUUUUACUUCAUAUGGAGAGAUUGUAGAAUUUAGCCCAUCAUCUAAGAGAUCAGAUGCAUUAUCAGAAGCAACGGCCUCAUCUCUCUUUGAAGGUGAUGUGAUGGAUGCCAUUUGGAAUUCGCCAGUGGUGGAAGUGUCACGAGGUGUGUGCCUUGAUAAUGUGGCUGUGAAGUUGCAGAAGGUGUACCGGAGUUAUCGCACACGGCGCAGGUUAGCUGACUCCGCGGUCAUGGCGGAAGAGCUCUGGUGGCAAGCCAUAGACUAUGCGAGAUUGAACCACAGUACAAUUUCAUUCUUCAAUUUCUCUAAACAACAUGCAGCUUCUAGGUGGAUUCGUACUACUUUGAAUGCUUCCAAGGUGGGCAAGGGAUUAUCCAAAGAUGCCGAAGCGCAAAAAUUGGCUUUUCAGCAUUGGAUUGAAGCUAUUGAUCCAAGGCAUCGUUAUGGGCAUAGCUUGCAUAUAUACUACAAAGAGUGGUGCAAGACAAAUUCUAGUCAACCAUUUUUUUACUGGUUGGACAUAGGAGAUGGUAAAGAGCUUGAUCUCGAAGAAUGUCCAAGGUCUAAGCUUCGGCAACAAUGUAUUAAGUAUCUAGGACCUGUAUGUGUUGCCAGUCAACUGCAAUUUAUUUAUAACUUCAAACAUAUAUAUUUUAUUAUGACAAUGCUGAAUUUGAGUUCCUAACACGCUGCCUUUUAUCUUCAUUUUACUUCUGCUUCAUUUCAACUUGAUUGCAAAUCAGCAAGAGAGAGAACAUUACGAGUAUAUAGUUGUAGAAGGCAAAAUUAUACACAAACAAACUGGGAAUCUCCUUGAUACGUCCAAUGGAUCAAAAGGAACCAAGUGGAUAUUUGUUAUGAGCACAUCUAAGAGGCUGUAUGCUGGUGAGGUAUGAGGUCAAUUGAACAGGAACACUUCUUGACGUACUUUUCUCUUUUGAUUCACUGCUUGUACUUACUCCUGAAAUAUUGAUAUAUUGUGAAUUUCUUCUAGAAAAAGAAAGGAAUUUUCCAUCAUUCAAGCUUCUUGGCUGGGGGGGUGACGUUAGCUGCUGGAAGAUUAAUGGUAGAGAAUGGAACUCUUAAGUCCAUUUCUCCAUAUAGUGGACACUACCGGCCGACAGAAGAUAGCUUUGACGGCUUUUUUUCCUUUCUCCAGGAUAAUGGUGUGAACCUUGAUGAAGUCCAGAUAAACAAGGCCAGUGAAGAUUCUGAUGUCUAUGAUGAUGGCAAAUUCACUGCAAGUAGGACAAUGGUCGAAGUGUUGAGCAGUUUGAAGCCU